UCAAGAACAUCAUGGUACCCAGCGAGAGGAAUGACCCUUGAGAGUGACCUGUUUACAAGUGCCUUUCUGGCCUCCUCAGAAUCACUUAACCUAGGCCACCCUUCCGUAAUUCAGAGAAAAUCAAAACCACAGUUUAGAGCCUCAAAAAAGUUCAUGUAGUGGGGAAAUGAAGAGCUCCUCAGAGUUCUGACGCAAAUGGAAAAGACUUUUUUCCACCUCCAGUUACCCCUCUGGGCCCUUUCACCACCUGGAAAAAAACAGUGGUACAUGAUUGAACAAUUUACUUCUCUGCUCCACUGACAUUGGACUUGGCCACAUAAGUUGCCUUGGCCAAUGGGAUGUUAACAGAGAGGACACGAAUAUGUAUGCUUCCACAGUUUGGCUUGGCCUCCUACAUCUCUGGAUAGCAGUGGCAAGACCAUGCCCCGGGCAGAAAUCCACUCCUCUUGCAGCAGAGGAGCCUUGUCUCUCUGAAGAAUGAGAAAACUGUUCCAACUCCAGCCUGAGGAACCCAAAGUAGACACCAGAAAGAAGAGAGAUACGGGACACAGAAUGGGAAGCUGGAAACAGACUUCUGAUAAUCUGAACUCAUUAGGAAAGAGUGGAUUAAAAUUUCAUAAAUCAAGGGUUAACAAAGGGUUAAGCAAACAGAAUAU